rnacentral:rRNA from 1 species
GUGGAUUAGAUACCCUAGUAGUCCACGCUGUAAACGAUGUCAACUAGAUGUAGGGGGUGUUGAUCCCUCCUGUGUCGCAGCUAACGCAUUAAGUUGACCGCCUGGGGAGUACGGUCGCAAGAUUAAAACUCAAAGGAAUUGACGGGGGCCCGCACAAGCGGUGGAGUAUGUGGUUUAAUUCGAUGCAACGCGAAGAACCUUACCUGGUCUUGACAUCCCGGAGAUCCCUUGGAAACUUGGGAGUGCUUCCAUGAGGAAGAAUCUGGAGACAGGUGCUGCACGGCUGUCGACAGCU